rnacentral:rRNA from 1 species
UAUAGCUUGACACUGAACAUUGAGCCUUGAUGUGUAGGAUAGGUGGGAGGCUUUGAAGCGUGGACGCCAGUCUGCGUGGAGCCGACCUUGAAAUACCACCCUUUAAUGUUUGAUGUUCUAACGUGGACCCGUAAUCCGGGUUGCGGACAGUGUCUGGUGGGUAGUUUGACUGGGGCGGUCUCCUCCUAAAGAGUAACGGAGGAGCACGAAGGUUGGCUAAUCCUGGUCGGACAUCAGGAGGUUAGUGCAAUGGCA